rnacentral:rRNA from 1 species
AAAUUUUUAACUAAUUUAAAUCCAAUUAAAAUUAAAAAUUUUCUUUUUUUUUAAAAAUUAAAUAAUUUUAAGAUAAAAUUUAAUUUAUUACUAAUUUUAAAAUUUAAAGUUAAUUGAUGUUAAAAAUUUUAUUCAAAAACUAGGAUUAGAUACCCUAUUAUAAAAAUAUAAAUUUUAAAAUUAAAAUAUUAAAUAUUAAAUUACUAAAUUUAAAAAAAUUGACGGUAUUUUUUUUUAUUAAAGAAACUUAAAAUUUAAAUUGAUAAUCCACAUUAUAAUAAACUAAAUUUAUAUUUUUAUAUAUUACUGUUUAAAUUUAAUUUCUUUUUUUAAUUAUUAUUUAAAUUUAUUCAAAUAAAAUAUUUCAAGUCAAAAUAUAAAUAUAAUUUAGAUAUUUAGAGUUACUUUUAAUUUUAAAAUAAUUUAUUUAUUUUUUUUUAAUUAAAUUAAAAUUUAGAAUUUAAUAAUAAAUUUUUAAAAUUUUAAAAAUUAAAAUUUUCUAAAAAUAUGUACAUAUUGCCCGUCAUUCUUAUUUUUAAUUUAAGACAAGUCGUAACAAAGUAAUUUUACUGGAAAGUAAAAUUAGAAGUUAUAAA